rnacentral:rRNA from 1 species
CCUACGGGGGGCAGCAGUAGGGAAUAUUGCUCAAUGGGGGAAACCCUGAAGCAGCAACGCCGCGUGGAGGAUGAAGGUUUUCGGAUUGUAAACUCCUUUUGUUAGAGAAGAUAAUGACGGUAUCUAACGAAUAAGCACCGGCUAACUCCGUUCCAGCAGCCGCGGUAAUACGGAGGGUGCAAGCGUUACUCGGAAUCACUGGGCGUAAAGGGCGCGUAGGCGGGAUAGCAAGUCAGGUGUGAAAUCCUAUGGCUUAACCAUAGAACUGCAUUUGAAACUGUUAUUCUAGAGUAUGGGAGAGGUAGGUGGAAUUCUUGGUGUAGGGGUAAAAUCCGUAGAGAUCAAGAGGAAUACUCAUUGCGAAGGCGACCUGCUAGAACAUAACUGACGCUGAUGCGCGAAAGCGUGGGGAGCAAACAGGAUUAGAUACCCCUGUAGUC